rnacentral:rRNA from 1 species
AUUGAACGCUGGCGGCAUGCUUUACACAUGCAAGUCGAACGGCAGCACGGGAGCUUGCUCCUGGUGGCGAGUGGCGAACGGGUGAGUAAUGCAUCGGAACGUACCCAGUAGUGGGGGAUAGCCCGGCGAAAGCCGGAUUAAUACCGCAUAUUUCCUGAGGGAGAAAGCGGGGGGACCUUCGGGCCUCGCGCUACUGGAGCGGCUGAUGUCGGAUUAGCUAGUUGGUGAGGUAAAGGCUCACCAAGGCGACGAUCCGUAGCUGGUCUGAGAGGAUGAUCAGCCACACUGGGACUGAGACACGGCCCAGACUCCUACGGGAGGCAGCAGUGGGGAAUUUUGGACAAUGGGGGCAACCCUGAUCCAGCCAUGCCGCGUGAGUGAAGAA